CAUGCCUGCUCCCCUUAUGCCUUCUAUCAUGAGUUAAAACUUCCUGAGAUCUCACAGAAGUCAAGAAGAUACUGGCACCAUGCCUGUACAGCCUGCAGAAUAAUGACCUAACCACGUCUGGACUUGCUGCAACCCAGGGCGGAGAGGGUCUUGGAAUCAUAUCCUAUGAGGACUUCCUAAAAGAACCAAGGACUCCAAGCCUGGAAAAUACUUAAUAAUAAUGUAUUGCAUAUUUCAAAAUAGCUAAAAGAGAGGAUUUUAAAUGUUCUCAAGACAAAGAAAUGAUAAAGAUAUGAAGUGAUGGAUAUGCUAACUACUCUUUCUCUAAUUUGAUCAUUCCACAAUGUAUACAUGUACAGAAAUAUCACUUUGUUCCUCAUAAAUACAUGCAAUUAUUAUUUAUCACUUAAUAAAAUAAAACUUAAAAAAAGACAGUCUGCACUCAGAAAGGAACUAGAGCAGUCUCAUUAUUUUAGAGGUGAUGGUGAUUACAGAUAUCUCUAGAAAGUGUUUCAUGUGCUAAACACUUUAUUUAUUGUGCCUCACCAAUGUACCUUAUAGGACAGGCGCCAUUAUUAUGCUUAUUGAACAAAAGAAGA
rnacentral:lncRNA from 10 species